UUGGCAGAGAAUGUCUGCCACAUCGUGCAUUCAGAGCUGGUACUGGCUUGUACAGUCUGGUAUGGAAGUUAUUCAUCUUGAGCAUAGUAGCCUUUUCAAACCAAGAGGCAGCAUGGAGGUAUGAAUUUUAAGACAAAUUGAAGAACUCAAGAAGAUAAGUGAAGGGAAAGAGUGCUAGGACCAGUUCAGCCAGAAAAUUACCAUGAAAUUGUCAUUCACUUGUUCAAAAGCUGUGUGCUGUGAGGUGUGUAUCCAUUUCUGGAUCAAAUGUGCAAAUUUCUAAAACAAAUGUAACCUUUUUUUUCCCCACAGAUUUUACGUUUUUGCUUAUGCAUGGAUCAGAAGGAAAAAAAAAGAGUGAAUGAAUAUGAAAUCAGAUGUACAGAGCUCCUCUCCAGCAGAACUUUAGCAUGUGUUCUGAACAAAUCUCCAGGAGUUCUAUGGAGGUAUUUGUGGCUCAUGAUGCUAACAGGGCGAUGUGCACAAGCAUCCUGAAAACUGUGGAUUGGUGAGGGCCAACACUGCUGCAUCCAGCAAAAGAAGCAAGGAUAGAAGGAAAGAAAGGGAGAAUCUAAAGCAUGCUAAGCAAGAAGUUGUUCCCAGAUGUCUCUACUGUGAAGAGUGAACAUUGUGCCAGGGAGAUUCUUCCUGUUUUAGAAGGAAUAGAGGCAACAGCUUUGAAAGCAGAAGACAGAACCACGUUGUGAAAUGGCUGUGAUGGACUGACGUCUGAAAGUUAUAGGGAAGCUUCACCUCUUGUAUUACAUUCACACAACAGGAUGAAGAAAACCAGCUAAUUUUGAAGAGCCUUGGCAAAAUAAAUAAAUUUAAAAAGAAGUGGAACUCUGUUCAUCUCUCGUAUGCUGAUUGCUCCCUCACGUGAC